rnacentral:rRNA from 1 species
UCGGAUCAGGUAGAUCCCUC